ensembl:snoRNA small nucleolar RNA, C/D box 49A
UGCUCUGAUGAAACCAUUAAUAAUAGGAAGUGCCGUCAGAAGCGAUAACUGACGAUAACUAUUCCUGGCUGACU